rnacentral:misc_RNA from 1 species
AUGGACACUUAUUCAGACCCUGUCAAACAGUGUAGCCUAUGUAUUACAAAACAUCUUGUUGAGAACCAUUUACUCCAGAAAAGUUUCGAAAUUUUCAAAGCCUGAUUGGAAAAAUGGCGCGUUGCUCUUUAAGGUUCAUCCACUUCCUCGGUUUGAUGAUGUACAUUUCAUCAGCUACAUCAUCGUCUCCGAGUGCCACGAUUUUCACCCUGGAAGAGAAGCUGCAUACAUUAACAGACAACUUUAUUAAAUUCAAGGAGGACGUCGAAGACAAACACAUGCAACUCGAGGCCAAAAACGCAAAGCUGGAGGCGAAUGAUCAAAUUCACAAAGACGUUCGAAGAGUACUAGAAAACAAAGUGACGCAACUUGAGGCUAGGGUGAUUCAAUUAGAGGCAACAGUAGAGCAUCAAGAAUCACUUCUUAUCGCCCUGCAAACUGAGCAAUCAUUGACAACUACUUCCGGAUCACGCAAUAUUCCUUCUGCUGGGAAGAGUAGCAUCGCAAGAACGUGUCGAGAUCUUCGUGCGACUGAUCCUUCACUUCCGUCCGGAAUGUACUGGAUCGAUCCGGAUGGACAAGGAAUCGGAGACGACGCCAUCUACGUUCAAUGUAACAUGACGUCAGGAUCCACAUCUGUUCCACACGACAGCGAAUCACCAAUCGACGUGGGUCAUUGCGCUGAUCCUGGAUGCUACUCGAGGGCAAUCAACUACGUCGCAAGUAGCAGGCAAAUUAAGGCUUUGUCUCAGCUAUCAGCCGAAUGCCAACAGUCGAUCAAAUACGAGUGCAAUUAUGCGCCGUUUGAGACUAAUAAUAUCGUCUACUCAUGGUGGAAUGAUAAAGAUGGGAAUCCGCAAUAUUUUUGGUCGGGAAGCAACUCAAGCGUUCACACUUGUCAGUGUGGUAUCGACCAUAACUGCGUCGAAGAUUACGUAAAAUGCAACUGCGAUUCAACCGUUCCACUACUGCUGGCUGACAAUGGUGUCAUCAGAGAUAAGGAAAUUCUGCCAAUAAGCCGUCUCAACUUCGGUCGGACUCAACUGGCAACCUCUUCCGGUGUCCACACUUUGGGCCAAUUUGAAUGUAACGGACAAGUGUCCGUCGCCGGAAUUCCGACUUCAUGUGAAGACUUGUGGCUGGUGGGACAUACUUUGAGCGGAUUGUAUUCCGUAAUGGGAACAUCUAAAAUGGAAUCUGUAUACUGCGAUUUCACUAAACUCCCUGAUGACGCGGGUUUCCAGAAAUGGAUCGGGUACGCUGACAUAAAAUCAGCGCUCACAUACUUUCAUGUGUCGAGAAACGCUCACUUCAGUCAAAUUGGCACCCCGAUUCCAUUCCAGAUUUCGCACAUCAACACUGAGAAUGCUAUGGAUUUAAACAUGGGGAAAUUCAGAGCACCGCGGACGGGAACCUACUUUUUCUCGUUCAACGGCAUGGUGGAAAUUCCAGCCUCGCCUAGGGUUGGUUUAGGGGUUUCCAUUUACUUGAAUGGCGUAAACAAAGGGAGGAGCUGGAAUGAAAAAAUCAAUGGCGGUUCCAGUGACAAUGAUCAAGUAGGCCUCCAAGUAACACUCAAUUUGAAAACGGGGGAUCAAGUAUGGGUGGAGAUUGACGACAGAUUUUCUGAGACAUUUCUGUGGGAAGACGGUAGUGGACUAAACACUCAUUUCACUGGUUGGAUUUUAGAAGAAGAAAUUAAAAACUCGCUGUGAAUUGUUGUUUUGAUAGUAGAAUAUAACAUAUAUCAAUCUACAUCAAUUAAAUCAUUGAUCAUAUAUGCCUAAAAAGUGGUGCGCUGAAUCACGAAAAGCAAAAAAAUCGCAAAAAAUUUGAAGAAUUUUAUAUUUUCUUACCAUCAGCAUCAUUGACGUUGACGUAUUCUUGAGCAUCAAUAACAGAUUUGACUUCAGAUUCGCUCGUUGAUGUUGAAAUGUUGAUGUUGAAAAGAAGCAGAACAAAGCAAAAUAAAAGAGACCUGGACUGGAAGGUCGAAAGAA